GUUUUUGUAGUUGAAAUACAACGAUGAUUUUUCAUAUCAUUGGUC
rnacentral:tRNA from 1 species